rnacentral:rRNA from 1 species
AAACUUUCAACAACGGAUCUCUUGGUUCUCGCAUCGAUGAAGAACGCAGCGAAAUGCGAUAAGUAGUGUGAAUUGCAGAAUUCCGUGAAUCAUCGAAUCUUUGAACGCACAUUGCGCCUCCCGGUAUUCCGGGAGGCAUGCCUGUUCGAGCGUCAUUA